rnacentral:rRNA from 1 species
GAUGAACGCUGGCGGCGUGCCUAAUACAUGCAAGUCGAGCGAACAGAUGAGGAGCUUGCUCCUCUGACGUUAGCGGCGGACGGGUGAGUAACACGUGGAUAACCUACCUAUAAGACUGGGAUAACUUCGGGAAACCGGAUCUAAUACCGGAUAAUAUAUUGAACCGCAUGGUUCAAUAGUUAAAGACGGUUUUGCUGUCACUUAUAGAUGGUUCCGCGCCGCAUUAGCUAGUUGGUAAGGUAACGGCUUACCAAGGCUACGAUGCGUAGCCGACCUGAGAGGGUGAUCGGCCACACUGGAACUGAGACACGGUCCAGACUCCUACGGGAGGCAGCAGUAGGGAAUCUUCCGCAAUGGGCGAAAGCCUGACGGAGCAACGCCGCGUGAGUGAUGAAGGUCUUCGGAUCGUAAAACUCUGUUAUUAGGGAAGAACAAAUGUGUAAGUAAAUAUGCACGUCUUGACGGUACCUAAUCAGAAAGCAACGGCUAACUACGUG